UACGUAGGGAGCAAGCGUUGUCCGGAAUCAUUGGGCGUAAAGCGCGCGUAGGCGGCCCCGUAAGUCCGCUGUGAAAGUCAAAGGCUCAACCUUUGAAAGCCGGUGGAUACUGUGGGGCUAGAGUACGGAAGAGGCGAGUGGAAUUCCUGGUGUAGCGGUGGAAUGCGCAGAUAUCAGGAGGAACACCAAUAGCGAAGGCAGCUCGCUGGGACGUUACUGACGCUGAGGCGCGAAAGCGUGGGGAGUGAACAGG
rnacentral:rRNA from 1 species